GUCCUAUGUUGCAGAGCCCACAAAAACCCCCAGCCUCUUUCCUCUGAUCCUCCCUGGACCUGUGUCGGGACAGACCUUGGUCGUCGGCUGCCUGAUCCGGGGCUUCUUCCCGCUGGGCCCUCUGAGUGUGAGCUGGAACGUCAGCGGGACGAACAUGAAUUUCCCGCCCGUCCCGUCUCCACCCUCCAACCUGUAUACCACGUGCAGCCUGCUGAUCCUCCCACCUCAAGACUGUCCCGCAGGAAACUGUGUGGCCUGCCACGUGGAGCACAACGAUGACGAGGGCCAGGACCUCACUGUGCCCUGCCCCCCAGAGGACCCCUGCAAAAACUGCCCCACCAUCAGCCGCAGCCGCUUCACCGCCCACUGCCAGCCCAGCCUGUCCCUGCAGCAGCCAGACCUCGGGGACCUGCUCCUGGGCCGAGAUGCCAGCCUCACCUGCACCCUGAGCGGCCUGAAGGACCCCGAGGGCACCGUCUUCACCUGGAAGCCCACAAACGGGAAGGAGCCCGGCCAGCGGAGUCCCCAGCGUGACCUCAGCGGUGGCUACAGUGUGUCCAGUGUGCUGCCCGGCAGUGCGGAGCCCUGGAAUGCGGGGAAAAAAUUCACCUGCACAGUCACCCACCCUGAGAUAGACAGCGGCUCCCUGAUAGCCACCAUCAGCAAAGAUACAGGCGUCAUCACCCCGCCCCAGGUUCACCUGCUGCCGCCGCCGACUGAGGAGCUGGCCCUCAACGCGCUGGUGACACUGACCUGCCUGGUGAGGGGCUUCAGCCCCAAGGACGUGCUGGUGUCCUGGAAGCACCAGGGCCAGGAGGUCUCCCAGGACAGAUACCUGGUGUGGAAGCCCCUGCCUGAGCCCGGCCAGGAACCCACCACCUACGCCGUCACCAGCCUGCUGCGCGUGUCGGCCGAGGACUGGAACCAGGGGGACAGCUACUCCUGCGUGGUGGGCCAUGAGGGCCUGGCCGAGCACUUCACCCAGAAGACCAUCGACCGCCUGGCGGGUAAACCCACCCACGUCAACGUGUCUGUGGUCGUGGCAGACGUGGAAGGCGUGUGCUACUAAGCCCCUGGCCCUGCCCUGAAUAAACUCCGUGCUCGCCCCCAG